rnacentral:sRNA from 1 species
CCUAAGGUGAACAAAUUCUUGAGCGUCCUGAUUUUGUUGGCGAUACUUUUUCCCAAGUUUCAGUUGGAACUAUAGCAUCGUCAAUAGCUGCCUGAACAAUAACCUCUUCAUAAACUUCUUGUUGUAGAGCAUGUGAUACUUAAACCAGUGGCAAAGCAGUGGGUUUCUUCUCACUCUGAUCAACCUUCUCUAGAUUACUUUCACCCUUUUCGGCACUUCAGCAUUCAGUUGUUCCUUUCUCCUUAUCAUUUACCUCAACAUUUGCAUCAAUAACCUUCUCUAGAAUCUUAUUGGGAGUUGCUUGUACUUCUUUGAGAUGAUCCCAUUUUGAACAUAUGGUACAUCUUGGCGGAAGCUAGAGGUAUUUGUAAGCAAUCAUUGCAUCAAUAGCAUUUGCAGAUUUGAAGCGAUAUUUUUUUGGCAGUUCCUUCGAUAGAUCAACUUCUACAGAUACUUUAGCUUCUUCAAAAAUUUUACAGAGCUCAGUAUCUUGGUGCAGCUUUUUUGGUUCUCACACUGGGCUUGCGAGUUAGCUUAACCCCUUCCAGGUAUACAUGGUGUGCAGAACAUUUCGAAGCGUUAUCCACAUAGGCAUCGAUUUAAUCUCUGGCUGAGCUUCCUCUAUCACCGAAGACCAUUUAGAAACAAUCAUAUGCAUAUCAGCAUUGUUCCACAUACCCCGAUGAAGAACCAUAGCUCUUACUAAACUGUCUUUGAUUCAAAAUUUGAUUGUUUUAGCAUCAACUAAAUAAGCAUCUAUCUUCACUGUUUUAUCUAUGAGAGACCAGAUCUUGUUCACAAUUACGUGGACCUUUGUAACAUGCAGAGCAAUUUGUGGGAAUAUGCCAAUAAGUAAAUCUUCCCAUAGAGGAUUUGAAUCUUCAAAUAUUUCAUCUAAAACCUGGACUGUCAAAUUACCAUCCUCCAUGGUUACACUAAAUUCAUGUUUAGAAAGAGUUGGACAAUUUUGAAUGACUAGAAAUUCAUCCGCGGUACACUGCGGGGCUAUAAUUCUUUUUAAAAAAAUUUAAAGAUUAUCCAUAGAUAUAACUUAUUGUGUAUAAAAAAAAAGAGAAAUUUGCACACAAAAAAAUUAUACUUAAGAAAGUAGCAUCAAAACAAAAAAAAGAUGAUAUUCUUUAUAUUUUGUGUAUUAAUCACAAUUUUGCCCUCUUCCUCUUUCUUUCUUUUUCCCUCUCUCUCUCUUCCCCCUCUCUCUCUUUCUCUCUCUCUCUCCCUUCCUUUCUCUCUUUCUCUCUCCCUCCCUCUCUCCCUCUCUCUCUCUUUCUCUCUCUCUCCCUUUCUCUCUCUCUUAAUCUCUCUCUUUUAAUGUCUCUUACUUCUAUUUUCUAUAUGUACUUUCUAUUCUAUUCUAACAAAAAAAAAUAUUACAAAUAAUAAAAUUCAUAAUACAAUUAUCACCUAUAUUAUUACACCAUUACCUCUACUACCAAGUCACCAUUAUCCUUAUCAGUGGCUCACUGCUAUAACCGUAUUGUCGUCACUACAAUCAUAUUGCCGUCACUAAAACAGUUAACUUGCUUGCUUGGGUUCCCAAUAUUGUAUCUCUUAGGGUAUAAUUUUUUAAUGGGGAUCAUAUCCCUUUAACUCGGUAAUUUAAAUCGUCUAUGUUUUAUCUUUUACGAUUAUCGUAACUAAUAUUGCAACCUAAACUAUUAUCCCACCACCACUACCACCACUAUUACUUUAUUUAAUUUAAAAUAUUUUGUUUUAUACUAAAAUUAAAACUGAAUUACAAAUGAUUUAUGAAAAUAGUAUAGUACAACAUUCUAUUUUUAUA